UAAGGCUGCUGGAUCCUUGCUGACACACACCAUCAUGAGCACAGCCUGCACAGUCCUCCCAAAGGGUGAUGGGUGCAAGCAAGCUUGGGAAGUGCCGAUGACAUAGUGCAAGACCUCUCCUGAUACCACCCAGAAGCCAAGGAAGACACUGCAUAAAGUAAAUGAAGUGUAAUCUUCAGAUGCAAACA